rnacentral:piRNA from 1 species
UGACCGCGACCUCAGAUCAGACGUGGCGU